UACGGAGGAUGCAAGCGUUAUCCGGAAUGAUUGGGCGUAAAGCGUCCGCAGGUGGCAAUGUAAGUCUGCUGUCAAAGCGUCUGGCUCAACCAGAUAAAGGCAGUGGAAACUACAUAGCUAGAGUAAGGUAGGGGUAGAGGGAAUUCCUGGUGUAGCGGUGAAAUGCGUAGAGAUCAGGAAGAACACCGGUGGCGAAAGCGCUCUGCUGGACCUUAACUGACACUGAGGGACGAAAGCUAGGGGAGCGAUCCGG
rnacentral:rRNA from 1 species